GGACUGUACAGUAUCAAUGUAGAAAAAGGAAAUAAAUCUUGUUAAGCUGCAAAAAUUUGUCCUUUCUCCGUUUUUUUUUUUUGAUAUCCAGGUGUCCACCUUACAGUGACUAAAUCCUGGAGUCUACACCUUAGCCCCUCAAACUGCAGACAGGUUAAACCGCAGGUUGUGCCCCAAACUGACCAGUGCUCAAAAGCACCCCCAACUGAUCUGCCAAAGUGCCAAACAAGUCAUUUCCCAUCUUUGCACCUUACCUUCCAGUAGAGCUCCUGCCUUCCAGGAGAAUAUCUGCCUUCCAAGAGGCUUUCAGGAAUCGAACUCACGACCUCUGAUCUGCCAACCUUGAAGCGCCCUCAUCUUUGUCGGUUGGGAUGUGCCCUGGGGGGCGUCCUUUCUCCUUUUUGCAUUUAUUUUGGCUCGUUCAAGUCUUGGGGCAAAUUCAUACUUUCACACCAGCAUAAAACAAAUUUGUUUAUGCAAAUAUUCCCUUAUGAACAAGAAAAAUGAAGCAGUCAUUCGUAAUAACAAUAAAGUUAGAAACUGGCAGUACCUCUGAUGGAUCCCUGAGAGAGUAAAAAGCAGUGGUUUCCUUUGCCACAGAAGAAACCACAAUACCAUAACCUUAUUUACCCUCUCUCAAAACCUAUUAACAGGUCAUUUAGUUUAAAUUUGUAUAUUAAUGUUCGAUGAGUAGGAAAUUCUAGUCUUGAUACGUUACAUUACCAUAAACACAUCUUCAUCAGCUAAAUCAUCU
rnacentral:lncRNA from 1 species